CGUCUUAUGAUUUAGCACUGGUAGACACAGUACAGCUCACACACACACACACACACAGCAGCGGAGACGGAGACAGAGACAGAGAGGUGGAUGAUUUCAGCUUCAGCGGUGGAAGAGUUUCUUCCCUCUUUAAGAAGAAAAUACUCUCCUUUUGACUAUCAAAUAUCAGCGGAUUUUUCUUGGGCUGCAUUGUUAGUUGUUGGAAACGACAGCUUACACAGUUACGCGUGAGAAAGACUGCAAAACAGCCGAGCAUCUGCUAAUCCUCGAUUACCACGGGAGCCAUGGUGGCAGCAGUCCUUAAGUUGUAUUUUAUUGGAACUGCGCUGAGCGUCCUUGCAGUCAUUUUUGGAAUAGUGGACUCCUUUGGCGGGCUGAUGUACACCCAGGACCAUCACUACAUUUUGGACUUGGACCAACAGACACAGAGGCAACUGUCCUCGAGCAACCACCGGAGAGGAUCGACUGUGACUAAAAACAUUGGCUCAUGAAGAAAACAUCUGGCACGAUUUACAAAAAAUGUCAGCAAUGGAUCAUGACCGUGAGACUACUGUACGUUUAUAAUCACUGGGGACAACAAUUAUCCGGAUUCUUCUAUUGCUAAGUAUGGACAUAAAUGUCAUGUCUAACUUGCUAUUCGUUCUGCAUUAGACAUGAUAUGGAUAAAUAAUCCCACAGUAUGUGUUUGCUCUACUCUGUAUGCUUUUAAACGCAAUGCAGCAGCUAGGAUGUGUUAAAGCAACUCCAAAUUGGAAGUGAAGUGUAACAUCACUACUGAACAAUAAUUUGCACUAAAAUGUAAAUGUUUUCUCUU